rnacentral:rRNA from 1 species
AUUGAACGCUGGCGGCAUGCCUUACACAUGCAAGUCGAACGGUAACGGGCCUUCGGGUGCCGACGAGUGGCGAACGGGUGAGUAAUGUAUCGGAACGUACCUUUCAGUGGGGGAUAACGUAGCGAAAGUUACGCUAAUACCGCAUAUUCUGUGCGCAGGAAAGCAGGGGAUCGCAAGACCUUGCGCUGAUUGAGCGGCCGAUAUCAGAUUAGCCAGUUGGUGAGGUAAAGGCUCACCAAGGCGACGAUCUGUAGCGGGUCUGAGAGGAUGAUCCGCACCACUGGACCUGAGACACGGUCCAGACUCCUACGGGAGGCAGCAGUGGGGAAUUUUGGACAAUGGGGGCAACCCUGAUCCAGCCAUGCCGCGUGAGUGAAGAAGGCCUUCGGGUUGUAAAGCUCUUUCGGCCGGGAAGAAAUCGUAUCAGCUAAUACCUGGUGCGGAUGACGGUACCGGCAUAAGAAGCACCGGCUAACUACGUGCCAGCCGCCGCAGUAAAAC